UCCAGACUCCUACGGGAGGCAGCAGUGGGGAAUAUUGGGCAAUGGGCGAAAGCCUGACCCAGCAACGCCGCGUGAAGGAAGAAGGCUUUCGGGUUGUAAACUUCUUUUGACAGGGAAGAGCAGAAGACGGUACCUGUCGAAUAAGCCACGGCUAACUACGUGCCAGCAGCCGCGGUAAUACGUAGGUGGCAAGCGUUAUCCGGAUUUACUGGGUGUAAAGGGCGUGUAGGCGGGGAAGCAAGUCAGAUGUGAAAACCACGGGCUCAACCUGUGGCCUGCAUUUGAAACUGUUUUUCUUGAGUACUGGAGAGGCAGACGGAAUUCCUAGUGUAGCGGUGAAAUGCGUAGAUAUUAGGAGGAACACCAGUGGCGAAGGCGGCCUGCUGGGCUUUAACUGACGCUGAGGCUCGAAAGCGUGGGGAGCAAACAGGAUUAGAUACCCGGGUA
rnacentral:rRNA from 1 species